CAAAGUGACAGGUGGUGCAUGGUUGUCGUCAGCUCGUGUCGUGAGAUGUUGGGUUAAGUCCCGCAACGAGCGCAACCCUUAAGCUUAGUUGCCAUCAUUAAGUUGGGCACUCUAAGUUGACUGCCGGUGACAAACCGGAGGAAGGUGGGGAUGACGUCAAAUCAUCAUGCCCCUUAUGAUUUGGGCUACACACGUGCUACAAUGGACA
rnacentral:rRNA from 1 species